ensembl:lncRNA
GGACAGGACCUUGCUGUUUUCGUCUUUCAUGUGGAAAUAGAAUGCCAAGUUUUCAGCUGGACUCAUGGCUUUCACGUUUUCAAAGUGCAUGUGUGUGCGCUCAGUCAUGAUUGACUCUUUGCGACCCCGUGGACUGUAUCGCGCCAGGCUCCUCUGCCCCAUGGAAUUUUCAAGGCGUCCUUACUACAGAGACACUUGUCCUAAACGGUGGACUGGGGAAGAAGAAAUAUGGACAGACAGGUCUCUGAACCAUACCUAAACCCUGUGUCUCAACACUGAAGUCACAAGACUGCUAACUCUCCCUGUCUUUGCAGAGAGUGAGUGAGAGGUACAGGAUGUGCAUGAAAAAGAACAGCUGUGAACCCUCCAAAGCCUGGAGAACUGAAAGACACCAUGUCCACUUCACUGUGGGUGACUGAGAUCCCCUCUUCACCGCAGCCCUGCUGUUGCAGAACGGUGGUUUCCAGCUGGGGCAGUUUUGCCUGCCAGGGGACACUGGACAACGCCUGGAGACAUUUUUGGAUGUCACAACUGGCCUCUAGAAGGCAGAGGCAGGAAUGUCAUUAAACAACACACAAUGCACAGGACAGCCCCAUAACAAUGAAUUCUCAGGACAACCAACUGAAAUAUCAGUACAACGAACAACUGAGAAACCAUUUCAGAAUGGCCACCAAAUCUUUCCUGGUCAUUUGAAGAGCCAUCUGCUAAAGCAUCAGAAAAAUUAAAUAAAACCAAAGCAGGGAC